ACCACAUGGCCGCUGAGAAUGUGACAGAACCAGUUUGUUGAUGGUGUGUGUUCUUUUCCUGUUAGGUGUCUGUCAGAUGACAUGAGGACUAAAUGGUCUUUUAAACAGAUUUUGUGACUGUCGGUAACCAGUCUCACCAGCUACAGAGGACAUGAAGGAAGACAAGCCACCGCUCUGACUGACAGCAGAGGAGGAGGGAGGGGGAAACAAUAGAAAAAGGUCAUCCAGUUAUGGGUGGAUCCUCAUCGAAGAGAGCUUUCAAGUGGCCAAGGAAGAAAAAGUCACCUUUGAGAAGAGCCUGGAAACAAGUCAAGAGGGCUCUACCCAAAAAGAAGCACAAGAACAGAAUAAUGAAAAAACUGAAACUGGAUAAACUGAGGGGAGGACAACAACGACUCAAGAAGAAAUUUGCUGUGAUAAAAGCCAAAAAAGAGCCAAAACCGCAGAAGAAAUUCUCUCUCUGUGUUCCAAAGGAGGAGCCACUUUCUUUGGAGAAACAAGAGAAAGACGGUUUAAAAGUUUAAAAGAGUGGUGAGACUGACAAAGAAACCGCAAAAAGCUUCAGUAUCUGACCCUGAAGCAAGCUUUGAGAUAAAUGAACCAAAAACUGGAGUUAAAAAAAAAAGUGACUCUGAGACAUCUGUGAUCUGUGAUUUUCCUCCAGAAUCAAAACCUAAAGGACAAUUCAGACUUAAAAAGCAAGUCAGCAUGAAAUGGAAAGGCCAAGAAAUCUCAAACUGAGAAGAGAGAAGAAAGAAAAAAAAAAAAAACGACUCCAGAACCAAAUGGAUUACAUGUUGUUGUAAAUAACGUAA